rnacentral:lncRNA from 1 species
GAGUGGUGAGAUGGUAAUACUCACACAAGGAUAUUCAUAAAGCUUAUGGAGUUUUAUUCCAAGAAUUUGCCAUGUAAUCGUUUUGGAAUGCUGUUGAUUAGGUACACUUGAACUACAGAAAAUGAAAUUACAAAUAAGAAGAUGCUAGUGUCCAUUGGUCCACCAGUUCCGAUGCUAGCGUGUCUGUGACUGUGUCUGGAAUAUUCUCUCCUCAGUCAGGUGUGGCCAAACAUACCUGUGACCCUGACAUCUAAGAGGCUAUGGCAGUAUCACCAGGAGUUCAUGUGAGCCUCAGCUACACACUGAGCACGGGAUAUCCAGAGCUGCCUGAAACAAGAACAAACCCACCAUCAAACAAGAGCAAUAACAGAGAGCCCCUGUCAGUCCUCGGGUCCCUUGCAGUCCUUUGUGCACGUCCACUCUGUGCCACAACAGUGCCUGUGACUUCUGUCUGUCAGCAUCAUUCUUCACCUUUAGCUAUUACAGUUCUGGUGUAGCCAGUACUUGUGAAAGAAUCUCGAGAGCCCCACCACCCAGUGAGCAUCUGAGGGACUCAUGGUGAGUUCUAACAUCUCUGCUGAGAUGUUUAUGGGGAAUUCGAAUUCGUACUUACUAUGGUUCAAAAUCACACUUUGGAAAGUACCAUGGAACUCAGACUUUAAAACGAUUCUUCCACAAGCAAAAGAAGUCAUUUUAAUCAAGGCUGCCUGGUUGUUUUCACAGUCAUUAACUGUGACCUACAAGCUGGAGUGACAUCCUAAAGGAGGCUCUGUGAUUCCUCACGGUCAAGUCUGUGGAUUCACCUUCUGUUGUCAUCCUUCUCUUCCCUAGCAAGCUUGGGUCUUUUUCUUUGGCUACUUGGUGUCCGUUUAAUAAGGCCAUGCCAAUAGACAUGGUCUGUGUGUUCAGAUGGGAGCUGAGUGUGUGCGGAUGGAUGGAUGGAUUUGUAUGCUAAUAAAGUAAUGGAUGUCCUUGGUAUCU